rnacentral:tRNA from 1 species
GCCUUCGUGGUGCAGUGGUUAGCACGCUCGGCGCGUAUUCAAGAGGUCAGGGGUUCGAGUCCCAGCGAAGGCG